rnacentral:rRNA from 1 species
AUUGAACGCUGGCGGCAGGCCUAACACAUGCAAGUCGAGCGGAUGAAGGGAGCUUGCUCCUGGAUUCAGCGGCGGACGGGUGAGUAAUGCCUAGGAAUCUGCCUGGUAGUGGGGGAUAACGUCCGGAAACGGGCGCUAAUACCGCAUACGUCCUGAGGGAGAAAGUGGGGGAUCUUCGGACCUCACGCUAUCAGAUGAGCCUAGGUCGGAUUAGCUAGUUGGUGGGGUAAAGGCCUACCAAGGCGACGAUCCGUAACUGGUCUGAGAGGAUGAUCAGUCACACUGGAACAGAGACACGGCCCAGACUCCUACGGGGGGCAGGAGUGGGGAAUAUUGGACAAUGGGCGGAAGCCUGAUCCAGCCAAGCCGCGGGUGUGAAAAAGGGCCUCGGAUUGUAAAGCACUUUAAGUUGGGAGGAAGGGCAGUAAGUUAAUACCUUGCUGUUUUGACGUUACCAACAGAAUAAGCACCGGCUAACUUCGUG